rnacentral:rRNA from 1 species
CCCUUAGAUGUUCUGGGCCGCACGCGCGCUACACUGAUUCAUGCAACAAGUUUUGUCCUUGGCUGAUAGGCCUGGGUAAUCUUUGAACGUGAAUCGUGAUGGGGAUAGAUGAUUGCAAUUAUUCAUCUUCAACGAGGAAUUCCUAGUAAACGCAAGUCAUCGGCUUGCAUUGAUUACGUCCCUGCCCUUUGUACACACCGCCCGUCGCACCUACCGAUUGAAUGGUCCGGUGAAAUCUUCGGAUCUGAGAGAUGUCUGAUUAAUUUCGGACGCCUUUUGGAAAAGUUGCUUAAACCUUACCAUUUAGAGGAAGGUGAAGUCGUAACA